GAUGAACGCUGGCGGCGUGCCUAAUACAUGCAAGUCGAGCGAACGUACGAGAAGCUUGCUUCUCUGAUGUUAGCUGCGCACGGGUGAUUACCACGUGGAUAACCUACCUAUAAGACUGGGAUAACUUCGGGAAACCGGAGCUAAUACCGGAUAAUAUUUUGAACCGCAUGGUUCAAAAGUGAAAGACGGUCUUGCUGUCCCUUAUAGAUGGAUCCGCGCUGCAUUAGCUAGUUGGUAAGGUAACGGCUUACCAAGGCAACGAUGCAUAGCCGACCUGAGAGGGUGAUCGGCCACACUGGAACUGGGAAACGGUCCAGACUCCUACGGGAGGCAGCAGUAGGGAAUCGUCAGCAAUGGACGAAAGCCUGACGGAGCAACGCCGCGUGAGUGAGGAAGGUCUUCGGAUCGUAAAACUCUGUUAUUAGGGAAGAACAUAUGUGUAAGUAACUGUGCACAUCUUGACGGUACCUAAUCAGAAAGCCACGGCUAACUACGUG
rnacentral:rRNA from 1 species